GGGAACGCCUUUUGGGAUGUUUCUGGGGAAAGGCCUGAGGUUCUCCAGGAGGGUCUGCAGCUAGGGUCGGCCGUGGGGGCUCGCAGCCCGCUGGACCACCGGACCUGCAAGCGUCCCCCUGCCCCGCCCCCGCCUGGGCGCUCUGAGCAACUGGACUCUGCCAGCUCUAACUCCGGCGGGACGCUGAAACUGCAGGCAAGAGCCGAGCCGGGUGCGAUGAGCUUGAGGUUGCAGUGAUCCAUGAUCAUUCCACUGCACUCCAGCCUGGGGGACAGCAAGACCCUGUCUCAGAAAGAAAGAAAAGAAAAGAAAAGAAAGAAGAAAAAAGAAAUCCUACACGAGAAUGAUAACCAAAUUCAAUUAGUGGUUAUUUCUAGCAUGGGAGCAAGAGCGAUGCCACUGGGAACCAGAGCACAGAUACAAGAUUAUGGUGUAUUGUCAUCAUCCAAUCUCCUUAUAGAAGCAUGUAGUAUAUGGAGAAGACAGUUGACCCAUGGAGAACUAUUCUUAGCUCCUCUGCCAGUGACACUAGUCAACUCAUGGGAGAACUUACCAAUUUGGCCUCUCUGAGAAUAAAGAGGAAGAUAAAUUAAUAAGGUUUGAAUUAUAGAUUUUAAGAAAAUUGUUACUUUUUCAACUUCUUAUUUUGAAAUUUAAAACUUACAGAAAAGUUGCAAAAAUAGAGAGUUCCCUUAUACUCUUUACCGAACUUCCUUCAAUAUUAACUUCUUACAUAACCACAGUACAAACACCAAAACCAGGAAAUUAUGAUUGGUAAAAUACUAUUAACUAAAUUACACUUUCUAAGCAUACUGGUCAGUUGUUUCGUAGACUAUCCCUCAGUACAGGUUUAUCUAAUGUUUUCUCAUUAUUAGAUUGAGGUUGUGCAUUAUUGGCAGAAAUAUCAAAAAAGUGAUGUAGCCUUCUCAAUAUCAUGGCAUACAUAAUGUUGAUAUAUCUUAUCAUUCGUGAUAUUAACUUUGAUCACUUGGUUUACCUGGUGUCUGCAGGCUUUCUCCACUGUAAAGUUACUAUUUUUCUCCUUGUAAUUAACAUAUGUCAUAUGGAGAGAUGUGUUGAAGCUAUGAAAAUAUUCUGUUUCUCAUCAUACUUUCACCUCCUAAUUUUAACUGUAAUCCAUUGAUGGUUCUUGCCUGCAACAAUUGGUGUUUAACUAACGACUAGAUAAAAGUAAUUGCUGUAGGAUUCAAAUCAACAAGCGUUCUGACUUGGAAGAUUUGUUGAAUUAGUAUGAAGUCACAUCUAAAAUUUGAAAGAAACGGAGUCUCACUAUUUUGCCCAAGCUGGUCUUGAACUCCUGUCCUCAAGCAGGAUAUCCUCCUGCCUCGGCCUCCCAAAGUUCUGGGAUUACAGACGUAGUCUUGCUCUGUCUCCAGGCCGGAGUGCAUGCUGGAGUGCCAUCUUGGCUUACUACAACCUCUGCCUCCCGGGUUCAAGCGAUUUUCCUGCCUCAGCCUCCUGAGUAGCUGGGACUACAGGGAUGCACCUCCACGCUCAGCUAAUUUUUGUAUUUUUAGUAGAGAUGGGGUUUCACCACGUUGGCCAGGAUGGUCUUGAUCUCUUGACCUCGCGAUCCACCCGCCUCGGCCUCCCAAAGUGCAUUACAGGCAUGAGUCACCACGCCUGACCUGAAGUUAUUUUUCUAUACAGUUCUUAGAGGAAGUGUUUGGGUCACCUACAAAGCCAUGUAGUUCUCGACACUGGUUACUAGAGGAUUUAUAGAGGAUGUUCAUAUAUUCAACAAGCAUUUGUUGAAUACCUACUAUGUGCUAGCCAUGAAAAUAUGGGAUUGAAAAAAACAGACAAAAAUCCCUAAUCUCUCUUACAAUCUAGUGAGGACAAUCAGACAGUAAACAAAAUAAGCAUAAUAUAUAGUAAUCAUGUGGUAGUAAGUUCUAUAGAGCAAAAACAAGUUUAAAGAAGGAGGUUGGAGGGAGUGUUGAGAUGCUUAAGGUUUGCAGUUAUAAAUGUGGUGGUUAGGGAAUCAUUUGCUGAAAAAUGAACAUUGAGCAAAAACCUGAAGGAUGUUAAAGGAAUAAGAUACAUGUAAUCUAGAUGAAAGUUUUUUGGAUAAAGGGAAGAGCAAUUGCUAAAUCCCUGAGGUGGGAGUGGGCUGUUCAUAAGACAGCAAAGCAGCCAGGGUAGCUGAGUGAUUGAGAGCGGAACAUGGAAAAUGGGGAACAGUUGGUGUAGGAUCUAGUUGUGAGGAUAUUGACUUUUUUUUUUUCCAAGACAGAGUCGUGCUUUGUCGCCCAGGCUAGAGUGCAGUGGCGUGAUCUUGGCUCACUGCAAUCUCUGCCUCCCGGAUUCAAGCAAUGCUUCUGCCUUAGCCUCCCCAGUAGCUGGGAUUACAGGCGCCUGCCACCAUGUCCAGUUAAUUUUUGUAUUUUUAGUAGAGAUGGGGUUUCGCCAUGUUAGCCAGGCUGGUCUUGAACUCCUGACCUCAAGUGAUCUGCCCGCCUCAGCCUCCCAAAGUGCUGGGAUUACAGGCAUGAGCCACCAUGCCCAGCCUAGGGUAUUUACUUUUAUUUUGAAUAAGAAUGCCACUGGAGGCCGGACAUGGUGGCUCACGCCUAUAAUCCCAGCACUUUGGGAGGACGAGGCGGGUGGAUCACGAGGUUAGGAGAUCAAGACCAUCCUGGCCAACAUGGUGAAACCCCGUCUCCACUAAAAAAAAAAAAAAAAAAAAAAAUUAGCCAGGUGUGGUUGCAUGCGCCUGUAGUCCCAGCUACUCAGGAAGCUGAGGAAGGAGAAUCACUUGAACCCAGGAGGUGGAGGUUGCAGUGAGCCGAGAUCGCCCCACUGCACUCCAGUCUGGGUGACAGAGCAAGACUCUGUCUCAAAAAAAAAAAAAAAAAAAGCCACUGGAGAGCUCUAAGGAGAGGAUCAGUCUGGCUACUGGGUUGAGAAUUAAUCAUAGCAGGCAAAGGCAAAAGAAGUGAGGUUAGUUAGGAGGCUUUACAACAACCCAGAUGAGAGAUGGGAGGUUUUAGCCAGGGAGAUGGAGAUGUUGAGAGAGUAGCUGGACUUGGGAUUGUGACAGUGGACUGCAGGAAAAGCAGGUUUUUGGGGGAAGACUGCAUUUCUCCCUUCAACUUCUGUUACGUAGAUCACCUAUAUGCCACACAACUGCAACUCUGUAACAGCCAAUUUUUAGCUUCUUCCUUAUCUAAGCCAUCCUGUAGGCCAUAGGAAUUAAAACUAGUUGGAUCAAGGAAAACUGAAUGCUAGAUCCAUACAAAACUAUUUGGAUAUUUGCCUUUGUAUUUUAUUGUUUUGAAAUUAUUUUUAAUGGUUCAAUAAACUCUUACUAGAACUACAAGCAAUAUAAUUACUUCUUCUGCUUUAUUAGAAAUGUUUUUGUAAUCAUGUUAAUUAUAUUACUUUUAACUAUAUAAGACUUGUGUCUCUUUUUUAUAAAUUGAUGUUUAUAUCCUCUGUAAGAUAAAUAUAAAGCCUUUUUGUUCGUAUGAGGAUGUGCUGUAAGAUUGCAGGGAGUAUAAAAUUUGGCAGUGGAGUAGGUGACUUGUAUUAUUAGUCUGAUCUUAAUGUUGUAACAUACUGAUCAUGCAAAAUAUAUAGUUUGUUUUUGCUGUUUAAUACGUGUAGGACUGUAACAAACAGACUAGAGAAGAUGGCCAUAAGGUACGAGAAAGCAAGUAAAUUACUAUCUAAUUAAAGUAUUUGAUUCUAAUACUAGCAGAGUUCUGUCUAGAAAAUAAAUUAACUUUCUGUAUGCUUUUUUUGGUCUCAGUUUUCCAAUAAUUUCCCUCAACUCUGAUAUGUCUGUUCAAUAAUAUUUCUGAUGUUAAGAAUUGAAGGGGGUGUAGCUCAGUGGUAGGGCGCAUGCUUAGCAUGCAUGAGGCCCUGGGUUCAAUCCCCAGCACCUCCACAAAGGUUUUCUGGCUGGACACGGUGGCUCACACCUGUAAUCUCAGCAUUUUGGGAAGCUGAGUUGGGCAGAUCACUAGAGGUCAGGAGUUCAAGACCAGCGUGGCCAACAUGGUGAAACCCUGUUUCUAUUAAAAAUACAAAAAAAUUAGCUGGUCACGGUGGCACACACCUGUAAUCUCAGCUACUUGGGAGGCUGAGUCACGACAAUCGCUUGAACCUGGAAGGCGGGGGUUGUAGUGAGGUGAGGUCAUGCCACUGCACUCUCUAGCCUGGGUGACAGAGCGAGAUUCCAUCUCAAAAAAAAAAAAAAUUUUAGUUUAAGAACAAAUAAUAUUGUUUAUUUUCAUAUGGGAUUUGAAAUCUGAAUCUAAUAAUUAUUGGUAUUAUUACUAAUUCCCUUGCACCACUGAACAAUUUUCUGUUUAGGGAUGUUGGCUAUAACAAGUAUAUAGACAUAGUGAUAUAUAAUUUUUCUGUUUUAAAACUGAGUUUCUUUUUUUU